rnacentral:rRNA from 1 species
UGGGGAAUAUUGCGCAAUGGGCGAAAGCCUGACGCAGCGACGCCGCGUGAGGGAUGAAGGCCUUCGGGUCGUAAACCUCUGUCAGGAGGGAAGAAGUGUCUAUGGGUUAAUACCCUGUAGGUUUGACGGUACCUCCAAAGGAAGCACCGGCUAACUCCGUGCCAGCAGCCGCGGUAAUACGGAGGGUGCAAGCGUUAAUCGGAAUCACUGGGCGUAAAGCGCUCGUAGGCGGCUUGGUCAGUCGGGGGUGAAAUCCCACCGCUCAACGGUGGAACUGCCUUCGAUACUGCCUCGCUUGAGUGUCGGAGAGGGUGGCGGAAUUCCAGGUGUAGGAGUGAAAUCCGUAGAUAUCUGGAGGAACACCGGUGGCGAAGGCGGCCACCUGGACGACAACUGACGCUGAGGAGCGAAAGCGUGGGGAGCAAACA